UUAGAGUUUGAUCCUGGCUCAGAUUGAACGCUGGCGGCAGGCUUAACACAUGCAAGUCGAGCGGGGGAAGGUAGCUUGCUACCGGACCUAGCGGCGGACGGGUGAGUAAUGCUUAGGAAUCUGCCUAUUAGUGGGGGACAACAUCUCGAAAGGGAUGCUAAUACCGCAUACGUCCUACGGGAGAAAGCAGGGGAUCUUCGGACCUUGCGCUAAUAGAUGAGCCUAAGUCGGAUUAGCUAGUUGGUGGGGUAAAGGCCUACCAAGGCGACGAUCUGUAGCGGGUCUGAGAGGAUGAUCCGCCACACUGGGACUGAGACACGGCCCAGACUCCUACGGGAGGCAGCAGUGGGGAAUAUUGGACAAUGGGGGAACCCUGACCCAGCCAUGCCGCGUGUGUGAAGAAGGCCUUAUGGUUGUAAAGCACUUUAAGCGAGGAGGAGGCUACUUUAGUUAAUACCUAGAGAUAGUGGACGUUACUCGCAGAAUAAGCACCGGCUAACUCUGUGCCAGCAGCCGCGGUAAUACAGAGGGUGCGAGCGUUAAUCGGAUUUACUGGGCGUAAAGCGUGCGUAGGCGGCUUAUUAAGUCGGAUGUGAAAUCCCCGAGCUUAACUUGGGAAUUGCAUUCGAUACUGGUGAGCUAGAGUAUGGGAGAGGAUGGUAGAAUUCCAGGUGUAGCGGUGAAAUGCGUAGAGAUCUGGAGGAAUACCGAUGGCGAAGGCAGCCACCUGGACAAAGACUGACGCUCAGGUACGAAAGCAUGGGGAGCAAACAGGAUUAGAUACCCUGGUAGUCCACGCCGUAAACGAUGUCGACUUGGAGCCGUUGGGCCCUUUGAGGCUUUAGUGGCGUCCGGAGCUAACGCGAUAAGUAGACCGCCUGGGGAGUACGGCCGCAAGACUAAAACUCAAAUGAAUUGACGGGGGCCCGCACAAGCGGUGGAGCAUGUGGUUUAAUUCGAUGCAACGCGAAGAACCUUACCUACUCUUGACAUCCAGAGAACUUAGCAGAGAUGCUUCGGUGCCUUCGGGAACUCUGAGACAGGUGCUGCAUGGCUGUCGUCAGCUCGUGUUGUGAAAUGUUGGGUUAAGUCCCGCAACGAGCGCAACCCUUAUCCUUUGUUGCCAGCGGUUAGGCCGGGAACUCAAAGGAGACUGCCAGUGAUAAACUGGAGGAAGGUGGGGAUGACGUCAAGUCAUCAUGGCCCUUACGAGUAGGGCUACACACGUGCUACAAUGGCAUAUACAAAGAGAAGCGACCUCGCGAGAGCAAGCGGACCUCAUAAAGUAUGUCGUAGUCCGGAUUGGAGUCUGCAACUCGACUCCAUGAAGUCGGAAUCGCUAGUAAUCGUAGAUCAGAAUGCUACGGUGAAUACGUUCCCGGGCCUUGUACACACCGCCCGUCACACCAUGGGAGUGGGUUGCAAAAGAAGUAGGUAGCUUAACCUUCGGGAGGGCGCUUACCACUUUGUGAUUCAUGACUGGGGUGAAGUCGUAACAAGGUAACCGUA
rnacentral:rRNA from 1 species